AGUGGGGAAUAUUGCACAAUGGGCGCAAGCCUGAUGCAGCGACGCCGCGUGAGGGAUGACGGCCUUCGGGUUGUAAACCUCUUUCAGCAGGGACGAAGCGAAAGUGACUGUACCUGCAGAAGAAGCGCCGGCUAACUACGUGCCAGCAGCCGCGGUAAUACGUAGGGCGCAAGCGUUGUCCGGAAUUAUUGGGCGUAAAGAGCUCGUAGGCGGUCUGUUGCGUCGGAAGUGAAAACCCGGGGCUCAACCCCGGGCUUGCUUUCGAUACGGGCAGACUAGAGUGUGGUAGGGGAGACUGGAAUUCCUGGUGUAGCGGUGAAAUGCGCAGAUAUCAGGAGGAACACCGGUGGCGAAGGCGGGUCUCUGGGCCACUACUGACGCUGAGGAGCGAAAGCGUGGGGAGCGAA
rnacentral:rRNA from 1 species